rnacentral:rRNA from 1 species
UGGGGAAUAUUGCACAAUGGGCGCAAGCCUGAUGCAGCAACGCCGCGUGAACGAUGAAGGUCUUUGGAUCGUAAAGUUCUGUUGCAGGGGAAGAUAAUGAUGGUACCCUGUGAGGAAGCCCCGGCUAACUACGUGCCAGCAGCCGCGGUAAUACGUCGGGGGAUAGCGUUAUCCGGAGUUACUGGGCGUAAAGGGUGCGUAGGUGGUCCUUCAAGUCGGUGGUUAAAGGCUACGGCUCAACCGUAGUAAGCCGCCGAAACUGGAGGGCUUGAGUGCAGGAGAGGAAGGUGGAAUUCCCAGUGUAGCGGUGAAAUGCGUAGAUAUUGGGAGGAACACCAGUAGCGAAGGCGGCUUUCUGGACUGCAACUGACACUGAGGCACGAAAGCGUGGGUAGCAAACAGG